UUGCUUACAUACUGUUUUGGGCA
rnacentral:siRNA from 1 species